GACGUAGGGCGCGAGCGUUGUCCGGAUUUAUUGGGCGUAAAGAGCUCGUAGGCGGUUCGGUAAGUCAGGUGUGAAACCUCCAGGCUCAACCUGGAGACGCCACCUGAUACUGCUGUGACUCGAGUCCGGUAGGGGAGCGUGGAAUUCCGUGGGUGUAGCGGGUGAAAAUGCGCAGAUAUCAGGAAGAACACCAGUGGCGAAGGCGGCGAUCUGGGAAGAAGUACUGACGCUGGAGGUGCGAAAAGCGUGGGGAGCA
rnacentral:rRNA from 1 species